rnacentral:lncRNA from 1 species
ACAGAGAUACGAUCUUACGUAUACGUAAGCUCCCGAAGGGAGCUAGAGAGGUAACUCUUUUCGCGCGCUUUUAUUUCCCAUAGGUUUUGUACACAGCCAAUAUGGCUGCCGGCGGACAAUUUGAAGGGUGAUUUUGGAGGGUCAAUGUUUAAUUCAUGAGAAUGACGUCAAAUUACGCAAAAUGCACAUCUAUGAUUGGCUAAGACGCUAAUGUUUUAUUCAUAUCCCAAGGAAUUAAACACGUUUUUCCUUCCCACAAUUCCCCACGAGAUCUGUGCGAAGUGUUGUUCUUUUGGACUCUGCGAAUUUCCAGUUUCUACAACGAAAUAGCUCGACUAAUCAUCUGUUUAUAGAAUUGAUGUUCGAAAUCGUGAUUUCUGGGUGAACUUCAUUGGAGCAGAAAAUCUUGGAGGGAACAUCAAUAUUAAUUUAAUGACAUUCCAUAAGAAUAAAAAUUCAAUAGGACCAAGAUCUUAGCAGUUCACACCCGGUCAGAGGGACAGAAUUGAGAACCAUGCAUAUCAGCAAGUGUGAGUUACACUCUAAUGAGGAACAGGACAUCUGAAUUGGAAAAUUGCAAGGUUUCCCACUGCCCAAGCUGUUUAAGUACUGGUAUCACAACAAGUACCAAGGUGGAAGAAAUAUGAAGGCCAAGUUAAUAAGUAGUUACUUCAAAUUAAUUUGAAUAGAUAAUAUCAACAAAGCAUUGAAUGUUCUUUAAACUGCACAUCUGUAGAAAAGAAUGCAGUACAAGUUCAGGUUCAUCAGCAGGCAAUGACAUUAAUGUAUACACAAUUUCACACAAAAUACAAGUAAGAGAUUUUUUUUUUCCAAUGGGCAAAUGUAUCACCUUUUAUCGAUAUUUAAUACUUCUACUAGUUCUUAGUAGUUUUCGUGAAAUUAAAUAUAAUUUCCAGUUUAAAGGCCUAUUGUAUACAAGACAAAAAUUUAUAUUUUGAAAUAAAAAUCAUGCGUAGAUAAAUGUAAAUAAAGGUGAUCAGAGGAUUAAGAAAUAAUUUUAGUAUCACUCCCGGACCUCAUUCCAUAAACAAGUUAUUACUAUUGUAAUCUUGUCACUAUGACAAUUACCAUGGUAACAGAGCUGAGCAAGAAAUCAAGGUUUUUAUGGUAGCUGCAACGGGCUUGGUAAAAGUUAUUGCAAGUCUUCAUAAUGCUUGAAUAAUUAUGUAGGGAUAUUAAGUUGCAUUUAAUGUAAUCUUACUUUUUAAAAAGUUUUUGAAAUGGGUUACCUCAGUAAAAUUAUGUAUAAAUAAACUAUGUUCUAAAUAGAUUAAAUUCUAAACACAGUGACAGUAGACAAUAUCAAAUUUUGUGAAUGAUUCACUAAUGUAUUGAUUGGGAAAGGCACUCUUUAGGGAGAACCUGGAAUGCCCCCCCCCCUUUUUUUAUGAGGAGUGCUCUCACAUCUAGAAUAUUUCACAUCAGUAGAAUAUUUCUUGUCAGCAAAUCUGGAAGGAAUUUACAAUUUUUUUUAAGUGACAAACUUUUGUGGAAAAAUAAGUAAACAG